CAGUCGCCACGGUAAUACGUAGGGUGCAAGCGUUAAUCGGAAUUACUGGGCGUAAAGCGUGCGCAGGCGGUUCGCUAAGACAGAUGUGAAAUCCCCGGGCUUAACCUGGGAACUGCAUUUGUGACUGGCGGGCUAGAGUAUGGCAGAGGGGGUAGAAUUCCACGUGUAGCAGUGAAAUGCGUAGAGAUGUGGAGGAAUACCGAUGGCGAAGGCAGCCCCCUGGGCCAAUACUGACGCUCAUGCACGAAAGCGUGGGGAGCAAACAGGAUUAGAUACCCCUGUAGUCCCUGUCUCUUAUACC
rnacentral:rRNA from 1 species